CACGCAGGCGGUUUGUUAAGUCAGAUGUGAAAUCCCCGGGCUCAACCUGGGAACUGCAUCUGAUACUGGCAAGCUUGAGUCUCGUAGAGGGGGUAGAAUUCCAGGUGUAGCGGUGAAAUGCGUAGAGAUCUGGAGGAAUACCGGUGGCGAAGGCGGCCCCCUGGACGAAGACUGACGCUCAGGUACGAAAGCGUGGGGAGCAAACA
rnacentral:rRNA from 1 species